CUUGAUCUAAAUGUCAUAACGACUCUCGGCAACGGAUAUCUCGGCUCUCGCAUCGAUGAAGAACGUAGCGAAAUGCGAUACAUGGUGUGAAUUGCAGGAUCCCGUGAACCAUCGAGUUUUUGAACGCAAGUUGCGCCCGAAGCCGUCAGGCCGA
rnacentral:rRNA from 1 species